rnacentral:lncRNA from 1 species
GAAAAUAGAAGAGGUUGAAGUAAAUUUGGGGGUAGACAGGGAAGGGGCGUCUGAACGGCGCCGGUGUGGAGAGAAGGUAGGCGACGCCCUCGCCGGAGAAACAGGGGUGGCGGCGGCGCCAGAUCUGGAAGAUGGGUGGAGGCAGCGAAGCAGCUGUGUUGUCCGCCAAGGUGAUAGCAGCGGCACCCGUUGCUGCCAGUCGAAGGAAGAAGGAGACCGCGCCGGGCUGGAGGAGACGACGUCGGGCGCAGCGGCGGCGAUGGCUGGAGCAGCGACCGCGCCGAGCUGGAGGACCACUGCUAAUUUGAAGUGCGCCAGAUCUGAAAAAUGGGUGGAGGCAGAUCUGAAAAGUGCGCCUCUGUGAGAAAAUUUGGAGUCCGCCAGAUCUGAAAAAUGGGUGGAGGCAGUGAAGCAGCUGUGUUGGAAGAAGGAGUGCGCCAGAUCGAAGGAAGAAGGACUUCCCGCCGGGCUGGAGGAGACGACAUCGGGCGCAGCGGCGGCGAUGGCUGGCUGCUCGCCGGAGCAGGGGGAGCGGCGUCGGAUGGCCGUCUGGCCGAGAGGGUGAGAGGGGCCAGAGAGAGGGAAAGAGGUCGAGGGUCAGAGAGAGGGAGUCUGGGAGAGAGAGAUAGGCUGGAAAAGAGAGGGGAGGCGCCGGGCGGCGCCACCGUUAGGCGUCUGAAAUUAUGGCGAGGUGGGCGCUGGCGGUCGGGUGUCGUCGACGGCUGGUGCUGAUUUGUGCAGCGGUAAUGGGGUCGCCGGGUGUUGCCGACCACCGCGCCGAUCUCUUCUGUUCACAUUUUUUUUAAAUUUUUUAUUUAAAAAAGUUUGACAAAAACGACGUCGUUUUAAAUGCCCGGCGGGAAGUCCACGUCUGCAAUUUCCGGCUGCCACAUCAACUACGCUCACGCAGAUGGUCAACGCGGGUGCAAUUUGCGUUUAAAUUAAAAGUUCAUGUAUUUUGGGGCUAAUUUUUAAGCUCAUGUGCAAUUUGCAAUUUCGGGCAAACUUCAUGUAUUUUCUGGC